rnacentral:misc_RNA from 1 species
AGCAUUAAGAAUCCGUGCAACAACUACAGCAUCAGUAAUCUGAGUGCAGAAAGUGAUUGUUUUUCAGGAAGGAUACAUUAUCUUUCAGUACAAAUAAUAAGAAGACCAGAAGUCAAAACCUCACAGAAACCUUCUUCAAUCAAACUAACUCUAGCGAUGCUUCUUGGUCCAAACAAACAUAACAAGAGUACAGAUGACAUAUAAAUAACUGCAUUUAACAAAACUGAUUCAAACACAAGUUCUUCCACAAAAUUUCCGAAAAAACUACAAUGGGAUAAUAUGAGUUUCACUUACUCCUGUUCUUUGUUGGUUCAGCCCUCCA